UUUUUGGUAGUUGUAGAUAGUAGAUCUUGGGUGUCAGUGACCAUUUCUGUGCUAAUUCUUUCUUUCCUUCUCACUCAAAAGUCUGAGUGAGGAGGGCAGGCUCUCUGUGUAUCGAGCUACAUAGUAAUUUUUUCCUGAGGCUAUUUUUCAGUUUCUGCUGCUUCUGCUGUGUGUAGCCCCUCUCUGCCCUAUCUCCAUGCCCAAUCUUCACAUUCCUCAGCCUCCUGGAAUCCCAAGUCUUGCUGCUCUCUGGAGUGAGUCUGUGGUGCCCUCAGCAAUUCCCCAAGAACCUAGUGAUUGCCCUGCACUUGCUCUGACUCUGGCGUCAUAGGUGGACUGGGGGAGGGGUGAUUAGCUUGCACUUUGGUAGGAUAAUUUUACCCCCUUAUAGCAUGGAAAUGCCCAAACCCUGCUUACUUUCAAGGCUGCACCCUAUGUAUGGAUGAGCCCCUUUACUCAUUUGAUUUUGGUUUUUGUUCUUUUGAGGUGCUCUAUAUUGGUAAGUGGUGAGGAAAAGUCCUUUGCUUCUACUCUGUGGCCAUUUUAGCCUGGAAGUCUCAUCAUUUCUCAUACCACAAUAGUACUAUAUAUUGUGAAUAGUAAAUCAUAUACCACACUUUGCUCAGCCAUUCCCCAAUUAAUAGGCAUUGUUUCUAUUUCCACUUCUUUUCCACAAUAAAAAGAACUAUUAAUAUUAUUGUACAUAUAUGUCUUUUUCUUUUUUAGGUUUUUCAUCUCCUAUAAUAAACUGCUUAUUCUUCUUUCAUGCGUUUCCCCUAGAGUUCUCAUUUCUUUUUUCAUUUUCUUCAUCAGGCUUCAUUUAAUUUUAAAUAUAAUUGUUUUCAAUAUAUUUUUCCAAUCCAUAUUUACAUUUGGAGUUACUAAAUAUAGAAUUAUAUUUUUGUAGCAGGUGAUGGUGGUAGUGGUGGUGGUGUGUGAUCCAGAGAAGUUGCACAUCAACAUGAACCUCCUGACAUAUGUACUCACACAAUCUAUUUGAUAUAAUUAUGAAUGGGCACCUUUCUUAGCCUGAAUUCUCUCCCAUAGUACCAAAAUGCAUUUCAUGUCUCUAAAGGAAGAACAUGUACAAGGAUAUGCUAGUAAGUGUUUCACAACUGGGAAAAUGUAUAAAUGAUACUUCAUAAAAUUCUGUAUUAUGACAGUUAAGGCAUCUCAAAAUUUAGUCUCUAGCCUGAUGUAUUCCUCUAAACUUAGCUUGGGUGAUCCUCAGACAAUAGACAUUGAGACUUCCACUGGACCCAUAUUUGAAAAUUGCCUUCCAUUGCAGCUGUUCUAGAGAACCCAUAGUUACUUCUACCACAGUAAAAAGAGCUUUUGUAGAGAAAUAUGAAAACUGUGCAAGGUCAAGUCUAGGGUUGACCCCACACAAGUUUGGGUGAAAACUAAAAGUUUGUUUUGGGCAUUUUCCUUCUGCUUUAUAGCACUCGCCCCUUCUCCAACUUUGUCCCACAGUAUCUAAUAUUCUGAUAAUUUCUUAUUAUACUUUAGAUUCCUUAAAACCUAAUCCUAAGCCAAAAACAUUCCUCAUCACUCAGUAUUUCAAACGAUAAACAUCUUUCUUCAAUCUUCUCCACAACCCAAAUCAUCUAAUAGGGCCAGUAUAAUGGUCAAAAAUUGACCAAUAAAGAUUUCCUACUCUAAUUUGGUUACAAAGCAUACAAUUAUACCAACUCUAUUUUCUAUGAUGAUAAAGCCAAAAAAAAAAUGCUCCAAAUCAUAAGGAAUUACACUCCAUAUUUGUAGCUGAGGCAGAGCCGUAAUGGUUAAAGCCCUCCUCUUCUCCCUGCUUGGGCUGCAUAGUCAAGGUCGUGGGUUGAACUGUGUAUGACCUGCCCAGCUGCGUGUUCAAGGUUAGAAUAGUCAGCAGAGGGAGGUUUGAUAAUGACUGUGAGAAACUGUGAGAAACUUCUUUUUCUGCCCUUUUUUGGAAUCUUCUCGGUUCCUCCUUGUGCCUGGCAGGUAAUGUCAUGAAUUCCUGUGAAUCUGCCCAAUUAUUGGUUCCUGCUGUUGCUGGGCGGUAACUCAUAUCUUUCUGUGGUUUUAACCUAUAUAUGCUUUGUGUGAAUCCAAUAAACUUUGUUGUUAUGCAUUUCAUAUAGCGUCCAUUCGUUACUCUUCAUUUUCAUUACCCAAGUAAGGGCACACAGGGUUGGCCACCCUGGAGCUGAGCCUUACAAAAUUGGCAUCCGGGAAAAGGGACAUAUGCCAUCGUAACCCCAAUUCCUUUGCUGGUCAGAAGAUGAUGAAGUAACGGGUUUUGCCACAAUUCUGCAGAUUGGGUCAAGGACAAUGAUGGAUCCCUCGUAGAAGGAACAAACCUAUCCUGCAGUCUGGAGAAGAUGAAACCUCAACGUCAACCAAGGGGCAGGAAAAGGCCCCGUGUGCUACAGAAAAAAGAGAGACAAUUGAUCCUGUUCCUGGCGACUCUGAUGAACACUCUCAACAUGGCUAAUACAGAGACACAGACUCAUUGGGUUUUAUGGGAAAAACCCCCAUGGAUUAACUUUGUAGAAUUUGAGGAGGACUUUCCUGAGGUAUCUCUUCAUGUACAACAAUUUGGUCCAAGAUGGAAAUGGACUGCUAAGAAUGGAGAGACUGGGGAAAGAUUUCAUAUUAUGGAUGGUAUCACUCAUCUGCAGAUAGAGCAAUGGAAAGAUCUCAACUAAUUAGCUCUAGGGAAAAGAGAUGUAUUUCUUGCAUAGUUUUAGGUCUUGAUAGCCGCCCUUACUGCUACAACUGUCAGUAGUGUUUCUCUAGCACAAAAUGUAGCUAAUGUACGUGUCCUGGAACAUGAUGCAGAAUAUUUACACGGGCUUGCACAGAAUGUAACCAAGGCUUUGCUUAUACAGCAAGAUAUUAAUACAAGGGUUUUUUUAUGCUUUACAACAAAUAUCUAAAGAUGUAUUGUUACUAACUAAUCAAGUAGAAAUUUUAGCUAUUAAGGGUAAAUUACGGUGUGAUUAUCAUUAUUCAGCUUUUUGUCUUCUUCCUGUUAAAGUUAACACGUCUGAUGCAUUUGAAAAAAUUAGAAAUGAUCUACAAGGCUAAAAGGCAAUAUCUCUGAAAACAUCCAACAAUUGAACCAUAUUAUUGAAGAAAUGGAUAGUUCCUUAGCUGAGGAUCUUUAUCCUGAACAUAUUGCUGAUUCUAUAUACAAUUGGAUUAAAUCAGGCCAAAGUUGGCUGUCUCCUUUAGCUCAAAUGAGUAUAACCAUAUUGACUUUCAUACUGUUUAUAGUUAUCUUACUGGUCCUUCUUCUCUAUCUAUUCCAGCUCCUUGUGUCCAGCUUGGGUAGGAUUGGACAAGUUCUUACCCAACACUGGGUACUGUUGCAAAACAAAAAGGGGGAAUUGUAGUCGAGGCAGAGCCAUAAUGGUUAAAGCCCUCCUCUUCUCCCUGCUUGGGCUGCAUAGUCAAGGUUGUGGGUUGAACUUUGUAUGACCUGCCCAGCUGUGUGUUCAAGGUUAGAAUAGUCAGCAGAGGGAGGUUUGAUAAUGACUGUGAGAAACAGUGAGAAACUUCUUUUUCUGCCCUUUUUUGGAAUCCUCUUGGUUCCUCCUUGUGCCUGGCAGGUAAUGUCAUGAAUUCCUGUGAAUCUGCCCAAUUAUUGGUUCCUGCUGUUGCUGGGCGGUAACUCAUAUCUUCCUGUGGUUUUAACCUAUAUAUGCUUUGUGUGAAUCCAAUAAACUUUGUCGUUAUGCAUUUCAUAUAGCA